AUGGAGUCCCUUGCUUAUAGGAAGAUGUACUUUGAAGAGUUUUGUGCUGCUGCAAUUAGCACAUAUCAAUUAGAGGCACUUGAUGGGUGGGAGCAAAUUGCCUCCGCUGCAUUUGAGCAUUUUGAACGGGAGGGUAACAGAGUCAUCUCUCUUGAANNNNNGAACUGGCACGAGAAUUGAAUGUCGGGCCUUCAGCUUAUUCAUUCAUCAAAGAUUGGAUCAGAAACUC
rnacentral:misc_RNA from 1 species